GAAGCCCGCCACUCAGACGAGAGUCGACUGUCGAGCCGAAAGGUUGUGUGUUAACCGUCGUCCUGUCGAUUUUUAUCUUUCUCUCUCCAGUGCGUUUCCCUCCUCGUUAUCAAUCCGCAAUUUUCUUUGCCAUCACUCGCAAGAUAUUAUUUUGCAUCCAAGUUUGGCAUUACAUUUUCAAUUGUGUGCUGCCCACACGAAAAGAGCCGGUUAUUUUACUCCAUUUUUUCGGGUUUUGUCCCAGUGAUUUUGUGAUUUGAGUGUGUCAUUGGUGCUGAUCAUUUGAAAUUGGUGUGUUUGUUUCAUGGUCUCUGUCCGCUCUGAUUUAAUUGGAUAACAUAUCGCAAAGUGUGUCUCAAUUGCAUCGACGACACGUGCUACAGUGCUAAACUUGAGGAAUAUUCCAUUUCGUUUUGGGGUGAAAAAUUGGAACUUUUUUUGGAGCUCUCUGCUGUUCCCAGCAGACCGCCGCCAUCAUCAUCAUCACGUCGUUAACUGGUGUCUGUGAUUGUGUGCUUCUCUCUCCCUUUAAUGGUGCCGAUGGAUAUCUGUGUCGAUGAACUGGCAGUGCUUUUAUCAUCGUAACCUUGGCCAAGGUGUCCGCCCUGUCUCGUCGCGGUAAAUUCUCCUCAAGAAAACGUGUGUGUUGCAAUUCCAGGAAUAGUUCAAAAGAGAUAAAUCGAGGCACUUUGGAGCGUGAACAAGAACAACCUUUUUUUUCUUCCUAAACUGUGUCAAAGUGAAGCAUCUCGAAAAGAUCGAAAAAUGUCACCCGAAAUGGUCAUCUACUUCUUGUUGCUGCUCAUUGAACUGAUCUGCCAGACGGCCGCAUCUGCUAACCGGCUCAGCGACAUUUACUGGAAUUCCACCAACCCAAUGUAAGUAAACCUACACCAUUUGCCAUUCCGUUCCAUUCUGCGAAUUGUUCGUGUUUCGAGAGUUGAGGUGCGUUGUGUUGGACUGGCCACUCGGAAGGUAAGGGGAUACUGGUCGAACGGGAUAGCCACGGAUGGAUCACACAGGAUGGUCGUGAAACGGGUUCAUUGAGUUCGGUCAUCUUGCCCGUCAAUUUUUGGACGAGUUGGCGUAAUGAAGCCACGGGAGUCAAUUGAUUAUACGUGGUAGAACGUAAUGAUCUCCUAUUAUGGGGCGAUGUAAUUGUUGAUUGGAUUUAGCGGAGCCCAUCUCCUUUUCCGCACUGGGUGCACUGCGUAAUUAAUGUUAUUCAUGUUAUAGACAGCUCUCUCGUAUAUUUUUAAUCACGUAUUCCACGAAGAAAGAAACUCUCCUUCUCUUUCUCUGUGUGGAAGCGCUUAGAGAGUACGGAGCCAAGUCGACAGAUGGCUCACGACCACCAACUGGUGGGGUUUUUGUUUCUUUCGAAAGUCGAAAACAAGGGACUAGUUGUAUCGCUUGUUUGGACUCGUUCUAUCUCCGCCGUGGUCCGCAUUUUUGUUCUUUUUUUAUUUCAUUUUUUAAAAUAGCCUCCUGAACCGUUUACACGCAUCUGAGUCAAAGAAUGCGGCCACGACCGAAUCGUCGCGGCGGGCAUGUCCGGUAAUCGCUCAAUCUGAGCUCUAAGUUUUUCUCCAAAGGAAAGAAGGCCAACAGAUGUCGCUCUUUUUUUAUUUUCUUCUUUAAAGAAUUAAAGGUCCUUUAACUAUUCCUCUGUGUGGCUUACAUACCUCUCUCCUCGUGUAAUCUACACAAAAGAGCAAUUCACAGCUCGUAAUCUGUGCUUGUGUUCUUCUUCUUCCUUUUUUUUUUUUUUUUACUUGAAACACUUCUCGUGUUUCUCAUCGCCGAAUAGCACCGAGUGAGAUUUGUUCUUCUUCUCCUCCUGUUGUUGUUAAUAUCUCUGCUCAUUUUCCCCCCUCAGCGUCAGAAGACAAAUCGCCAGGUGCAAUUAGACACGAGUUUUGUCUGGGUUGGUUACCGUUGUUGUUGUUGUUGUACUGCGGUUUAACCAAACAAAAAGGAAUGUGCGCUCGUACGCGCAUACAUAUACGCCAGACAGGAACACAUUGCAUGCGGGAGAAAACAACGAAAAAUGAGGGAAUGGGGUACAAGUUUUUUGUUUUAAGAAAACGCUGGAGAAGAAAUGAAAUCCUGCUAAUUGCCGGUUUCGGAAGAAAAACUCUACUCUGCGUUAUCCCUCAAACCGACUAGUAGAGGUCCGUCCCCCCCUCACACAUUGACUGAUCGUCCCCGUGUACGGACCCACCUUUUUCCUCUUCUUCUUCUCCUUUUUUUUUCAUUCUUUGGAAAAAUCAGAUGCGGAUGCAUCCAUACACACAGAGUCUAACUUUUUUUCUUUUUUUCAUUCUAUCGGCGUGGUUGCAACGUCCGUAGGAGUUUUUCUUCCCACGAUCAUCCCGGCCAAAAAAAAAAAAAGAAACGAAAUAUAAUAAGAGGAAUAAAAUCACAAUGUUCAAUGCAUCGGGAAAAGGUUAGCCUUGUGCAUGUUUCAUGAAGAAGAAGAAGAAGAAGGAAUGAGAGGAGAUAGUGUAUGCCACUUUGAAAUGAUAGGCAGCUUCGUCCUCGGUAGCCCCAUGAAUCGACGAAACCCGUUGAUUACAUACUGUUGCACUGUGUGUGCGGAAGAAUGAUAUUAAAGGAUUAACAAAACCAAAAAGAGAGAGAGAGAAGAGAUAGAAAGGGAUAAAAUAUCUGGGGAAAAAAAGAGAGAAAGAGAUAAGAUAAGGCAAACGGGAAACUGAUGAUGUAUAUUCCGGUGUGUGUCUGUGUGAUGCUAUCGGAGCAAAAACGCAUCUGCAAUGGAGAAGGUUUCCCCCUUUUUCCUCUUCUAAUUGCACUGAAGGGGCCCCAUCGUGAAGCGCUGAUAGAUGAAUGUCAUACAAACGGACGUGAGACGGAGAAGAAGAAAAAAAGAUUUUCGGGCCCGUCUAUCGCUGACUCUCUGAGAGACAGAAAUGAAUGAUACUCACCGCACACAGGGACAGGCUGCAAUCACAUAGGUAACCUCACCUGACAAAGAAUGAGAAGGAGAUAAUAUUUCUCUCUCUCUCUCUUAUUUUUUAGCCUACGUACAAAUUUGAUGAUACAACAUCCGCGUCCUGUUUGAUUUCAUUUCUCGUUGUUUCGCUUGCUGGCCUGUUUGAAUCGUUUAAUAUCCCCUCCAGUCGCCCACAAGAUAAAUAACCCACUGAUCCAAUCCCACGCGCGUCUUUCUAUUUUGAUUUCAUUCCUUUGGGAAAGUGCUGUAUAAUCAUAUUCGUUCUUCUUGCCAUUUGAAUUUUGGCGUUGGGAAACAAAGGAAUCGAGGAUUUCCAGCAGACGGAGCGAUUCCGGGUCGAUUGCUCACGUCAAGUUUUGAUUUGAACCGGAAGAAAAAAAUAUCCCCCGUUAUAGCUGUGGUGAUUCAGAUCUUUUGGCUUUGGGUACUUGGGGGUCUUAACUUAUUGCCGUUCAGCACUUAGCAGCUUCCGAUGAGUCUCGAACUCGGCUAACUGCUGCUGCUGUGGUCCUCGACUUUCAACAUGGACUUUGACUAUAGACGACGACCUUUUUGUGUUUGUUUUCACUGAGAUGACCACGGUGUUCAUCUUCUUUUCUCUCUUUCUUUCUUUUUCCGAGUAAAUCCUUUGCACCGGAAAAUCCAUUUCCAAGGAAACACAAAAAGCCUAUCGUCGUUUAUGGUAGUACCGUAUUUCUUGUUGGUAAAUUCCGGCGCGGAUGGCUGUAUAAUCCGCUGGCCAGCUUUGUUUUGUUUAGUUUAUUUUAUUUUGCCUCCCCCCUCAAAUUGACGAUAAGCUUCAAAAGUUCCCUAGCUCAUUUCUCUCGCCACUCAUCUCUGGAAAUGGCUAUCUAUCUUGACACAUGGAUGGUCUCAAAGGGAUUAACUUUUUAAUGGAAAGGCGACUUGAAGUGGACCUCAUCGGCUGGGCUCGGACUUUAUUCUGAGCCUAUAGGCUCAAAUAAAGUAUCUAUACAACUAUACGUAGAAAAUGAGGUGUAGGACGGUGUAGGAUGGAAGAGACGGGCGGCAAAUCCUGGGAGGAAUUCAACUCUUUCUGGAAUGGCUGGAUCCUUCUUUUAAUUUUCUUCAAAUUUUUUCUCUUGAUUUCAUUGUAUUUUUUUUUCUCUUGAAUUUCUAACGAUAUCAGAGUCUAUGAUCGCUAAGAUGCCAUCAAUUAAAUCCCCCCCACAAAAAAAACGUAAACUAGAUAAGGCAAAAGUCUUGGAAUAUUCUUAUACCCUCGACUCUGGGAAAAUGUUACGGAAAAAACUCGAAAUUCUCCUAUAAGAAAAGAUUGAAACUGCGUUUUGUUCAGGAUGUGUUGCUAGCGGAUUGGGUUCUUUGAAGGGCGACUGGGGGGAGGGGGUCAGAAGAACAGAAUUGGAAUGAAAAGAGAAUAGAACGAAUGCGCGCAAACCGUAGAAUUACCCAAUUAUAUAGGAAACGGUUGUAAAUCUCACUCAGGUAAACUCUUUCACCUGUCUCGACUCGUCCGGGCACGUAUACACAAAAGAAAGAGUUCAGACAGCGAUCGCUCACGAGCCAAAAAGAAAAAAUAAACCUCUCCCACCUCCUCGCUUUAUUCUGAUUCUCUUUUCAACUUGUUGAACAACCAAGAACCUUCUUGUUUUUUUUUUUCCUUAUUUCGGGUCGGCGAAGAGAUGGAAAUCUGCGCUUUCAUAGAGUCGUUGAUUCUUUUUCCCUCAGUGUCCUAUUUUCCCUUCUCCGGUUUUUAUAACCCCCACCAAUCGUCUUUUCGUUAGACUCUCAUGGUGUGUGUCAUCCGAACCCCUCCUUGGUUAUUCUCUCUCUAUGGCUGGCGUGAUGAUGUCGAUAUCGCCGACUAAUUUGGUAUUUCUUUUAUUCAUCGAUUUGGGAAUGCUGUGGACGGGACUCAUCUGACGCAUGGCGACGAUAUUUUUAUUGCCUCUUGCUUUUCUGACUUUGUGACAUGGAGAGAAAUUAAAGAUGACAAAGAUGUUGGAUGGGUCGUCCAGUCUGUCCGUCUAUCCCCCCCUCCCCCCAAUAAUAUGUUGAUAGUGUAUACAGUAGGUGCCGAGGUUAUAGGGAAAAAAAAAAGAUAAGAAAUGGAGACACGCACACGACAACACACGUCCCGGAGCGUCGGUGUGUUGUGUGUCGUGUAAGCUCAUCAUCAAGCACCUUAUAUUUUUAUUUUAUUUUUCAUUUACGAGCCCUGGUUUUUAUUCGUUUACGACGCCAUUUGCCUCGCAAAAUAACGCUCCCGAUGAUGAAGGCCUCUCCCCCCUCUUUUUUUUUUAACUCUGCUUAUAACACAGCCCACGGGAAGAGGAGGAGGAGGAGAAGGAGGGACGAUGACGAGCUGGAAGGGUUGCCGUUGUUGCUGGGGCUCGCGUUCCUGUUGUUUGAUCCGACACGGCGUGUUUAUAAUCACGUCGUGUGCGCGCGUUCUCUUGGCUUCUUCUUCUUUUUUUUGUUUUGUGUGUGCACUGGCCAUCAAAAGGUGGGCAGCAACACAAGCGAGCCGAGUGUGUGUGUAUAUGUAAAGAUGGACACAAAAGAAACGAAGAGGAAAAAAAAACUUGUUGUUGUUGUUGUUGCACCAUCAGCUCAAAGGAAAACUAAAAAAGAGAGAGCGAUUCGAGGGAAUUUACGACCCCCCCCCCUCCCUUUUGCCUGCAUUAUCUGACGAGCAAGAAGAAGAAGAAGAGGAAUCGAGAUUUUGAUCUCGAUUUUUUCGAUCUGUUGACGAGUGUAGAAGAGUUUAUUCUUUUAACGGGGGGGUUUCUUUCGGGAAUUUUAUAGCCCCCCCCUUCGGUCUUAUUGAGUCGGCGUUUCUUCUAGCUCUCUCUCUCUCUGAUUUUUUAUUUUGGUUUUUUUUUCUUGUUGGAGAGGCGACGGGCGCAAUCGCUUGAAGGCCAGCGCACACACGCAGACACAGCAGCGGACACCUCGUCGAAUUAUUGAUAUGGCAGCCGCGAUAGAGAGAUACGCGCUCACGUCUUUCAAAGAGCCUUCAACUUCUUCUUCCUUUUUUUUUCUCCUUCUCUCUCUCUAGUCGACGCGCGUCCGCCUCUCUUUCUGCCUUUCUUUCGUUCGUUUAUUUCACCAUCUCGAACCGUUUGCCUGUCGUUCUUCUUCCCCCAGCAAAUCCUUAUUGAGGGGAGGCCAUUUGAAGUGCUCGUUGAGUCCAAACUUCGCGGGACUAGCCGUGACCGCAAGAAGAAAAAGAAGAAGAAGUUUCUUUCAAACUAUCGUUUUCUGCCAUCUAAAUCGAAACCAUUACUCUCUGGUAGUAGACAAUGUCCCUCCGUUUUCCAUUUAGCCAAUCUGCAAAGUCCUUCCACACACACACACACACAAACUGUUAGUAUUUAUAUCUAUUUACACAAUUUGGAGUUGGCUCCGGCUGGGCAUUUGUCCUUGUUGGUUGUUUCUUGCCAUUUGUGUAAACGGCAAUCGGUUUGGGUCAGCAACAGCAGCAGCAGCGAACUGCUCCGAUGGAGAAAUAUGGCAGGAAACCCACCGCAACAACUUUUAAGAACCCAAAUUCCAAAUCGAUGAACUCACUCCGGUUAUGUACUACCGUGAUGGUCGGUUGAUGAAAUUUCUCUCCUUUGGGACUCUAUCCAUUGGAUUUAUCGACCUGUCUCCCCCUGUUUUCCGUGUGUCUGCCCUCUCCCUGCCAUUGCAACAGUCGUUUGUGUUUCAGGUUUUUUGGGACAACGUUUCGACGUCGUUCCAAAAUAACUUGAUGUCAAAAUCACAAACCGUCAAUGUCGAAAAAAAUCACGGGGAAAAAUAUAUAUAUAAAUAAACGCGCGUGCGAGGUUUUGUUGACCUGCAGGAAAAACGGAAAAGUAAAUAAAUUUCCGUCGAUUUGUCAGUGCUGGAUCGGUAGCGGUAGGGGGGCCCCAAAGGGGGAUAGAUGGAUGGGAAUAUGUCUAGUCUUUUUUGGCACGGCAAUCCCCAUAUUUUUAAUGCAAUUUACUUUUCUUCGAGAGUCAAUUACUGGCGGUGUAUAGUAGGCGUUCAAGCUUAACUCGUUCUACAUAUCCAGCCGCGUGAGCAAUGAGACAGUGACCAGCAUGGGAGGGACUCGCCCUUUUUUUUCUUUUCUUUUCUUUUUUUUUUCGGCUGUGAUGUUGUUCGGGAAUUUUCAAUCUCGUCCGGAAAACGGGGAAAAAACAUCGGGAGUCGGAAGAAAAUGUAUUCACGAUCACGUUUUUCGCUCUCGUGUGCCACGCAGACGGGGGGGACUUGACAUAUGUAGCCGCUCGACAUUCUAUUACUCAAAUCUGCGCGUAGAUGCGCCCGUCGCUUGGCGUGCGCACCUUGCGGUUUUUCCAAUGCGUUUGUGGGUGUUCUCGCCAAAAAGAAUUCCAAACUGGUAGCCUUCGCCAGCAACUCGGAACACUGGAACGAAAAUCGAGACACUUCUUCUUCUCCUUGCGCUCAUGCCCAAUCGGGUUGUCGCUCGUUUAUCUUUCUCUGCUCACUGGUCACUGGUAGAGAGAGAGAGAGAGAUAAGGUAACAGACAAACCAAAGAAAAACAAAAGCGAAGCAGCUGUGUAGUAUAUCGAAAGCCAUGAUAACGGCGAUACCUUUAUGUUUUACAAUCUUGUUGCCGUUGUUGUAACAGCGUCUAUAUACGUGUUGUUAUAUACAUAUGCAUCUUUUCUUUCGUGGGGGGGGGGGACGAUGGAAUCGAAAGGUGGAAUGGAAGGAGGAUGACGUCUUAGGAAUGAAGUAGAAAAUUAUUUGGUAUUUUCUUUUCUUUUUUUUCUUUUUCUCCUGCGGGAGGAGAGGUUUUGUUGCCGUUGAGAGAGGGUGUCGGUGGUAGCCAGAUCAAUUUGUUCGUGUCAUCCUGUUUUCCUCCUUGUUAAAUUCCCUCCUGAAGAAGAAGAAAAUAAAGAAAAAGAGUGGGGGAGAGGAGCCACCUUCUUUACCUUCUGAUAACAACAAGGCGCUGCUGCUUCUCUGCGCUGCAACGGAGAGCCCAAAAGUUGUGUGUCGUCUUUCAGAGCCGCCAGCCUAUAGGAGAGCAAAAAGAAGACUGUGGAAAAGAAGGAACGCGGCCUCUCGUCUCUUUCUAGAUUAGCAUGCAAGAGUGGCAACUUGUUGGUUUUCUCAAGAAAGUUUAAGUUUUGUUUCCCCCAUUUUCUUUCGCCCAGGAUGCGUGCGGCUCGCAUUCUUAAACAGUUUCGGCUGUCCUUUUUUUGAAACUACUGCGCAGAGUCGACUGUUGGUAACUCCCGCAGAUCUGGAACACAUUGUAUUAUGACGCAAAAAACAAAAGGAAAAUGAAUAAAGGAGCUGGUUGGAUGAUGUGCGCUCCCGAUUCCUUGCGAUGGUGGUCUUUUAGUCGUAAACCCGUAGCGUGCUGGCCUCCCUUUGCUUUUUAUUUCUGUAUUUCUUUUUCGCUCUUCUCGCUGACUCGUCGCUCUAUGAAUAAAUAUCGAGCGGGAAUAUAAGUGCACGAAUAGGAUGAAGAAGUUGAUGACCGACAGUUAAGGGCGCGCUUUAUAGCCGAGCGAGAGAUGGGACACGCCUCAGCCGCAGCAUGGAAGCUUCCUGGAACACGUCCUUCCAUUCGGCUGAGUAGAGAAGGAAAAAGAAGAAAAAAAAAACCAACUUGGGCCAAACGGAAGAUCACUCAAUGCCUAGUCUUUUUUUUUCUUUUUUCUCUAUGCCGAGUUUGUCUAGAAAAAACUGCUGACAAAGUCAUCCCAGAAAUGCUUUUGCUUCCUACACUAUUUUAUAAACAUAGGUGCAUUUUUAUAUUAACCAGCCAGCAACCACUCCUGAAUAUAAAAAUUUACGUACCUUUUUGUAAUAAAAAAGAAAAAACAAGUCGAGUUCAGUUUCUCUCUCGUAAAGGGCGGCCGAUAUUGAUAGAAUUUGAAAUUUUUUCUUCGCUCUCCCGAACGCAGUCGAUAAAAAUCGAUAUUUUUGGCGAUUUCAACGCGUCACCGGAGUAGUUAAAUCAAAAUGCGUCUGCAAUAUUUUGAACAAGGUUUCCAGGCUUUUUUCUCCAAUUUCACGAAAUCUUCGGGGGGAGAGGUGGGAAAUGAAAAUGAUUUCUCCGGCGAUGUGACUGACACACUCGACACACAUGGACAUGUUUUGGGAUGACGACCGCUAUGCACUACUACUAGAAUUUUAUAGUGUGGUGACUGAAGAGUGCAAUGGUCAAAUCUCUUGACAGUGUCAUUUUUGCUUUUUUUUUAAAAUAAGUUGGCAGCUCUUCUUCUUUUUUUUCGAAACUCGACUUGUAUUCUACUCCAGACUUUUUCUUGUCGCCCGUCAACAACUUGCGCUGCUGAUGCCCUUUGCUUGUUGGCGUUUUCAAUGGUCGCCACACUUGACGAUCGUGAAGGAGAGAACUCCCAAAGAAAAUGUAAUAUUAAAUGGUUUUCCUUUUUGCUAUUCACGGGGGUAGAAAGAAGAAGAAAAGAGGCUCACCCUCAAUUCUGUUAAGUAAAUUCCAUCCAUUAAAAAAAAGAGACUUUGAAGUGGCGUUGGGCAUUUUUCUUUCCCACUUUUUUUUUCGCCUUCCAGUGUGUCUUUUUUUUCUGCCAAAAUGUGACGAGUUUAACAUGAGAGUUGACUUGCUACCACCUCCAAGAGCUUGUCCUCUCGAGUGUCUCAUUUCCUCUGCCGGUUCGCGCCCAGUCAACACAUCCAGUCUUUCAUUUCUUUGGCCCAUCUGUCUGCCUGAGCACUGCCUUUUCAUCCUAUUCUCAUAACAUUCAUUGUGUGCGCGUCCAUCGAUGAACCGGAGGCAGACCUCCUCCUUGCUAUUGUUAUGACCUUUUUUUUUACCUAUUCCAAUGGACUUUUGAAAUGCUCAUCUCAACACGGGACAAAAACAGACGGACAGACAACGGACACGGCUGUGUACAACUGUACCCAAUUGCAUCCGACUUCUUCUUUUUUUCCGCCCUUGCAGACAACUGACUGGAGUGUCAGUUGUUCCACGAACCGAAAACGCGGACGUCAAAAGUCCGAGUCUCGUCUGAGAUUUCACAUUUAAUGCGAGUCGAUUGGGCGCGAUCUUGUUGCCAAUUUGAAACGCAAUACCAACAACAACAACAAAACAACAACGAGCAGCCAACAACAAACUUUGGUUCUUUUUCCAGCGCUUCACCGGUGUACGCUUACGGGCACACUGGACGAUUUUCUGGGAAAACUAUCUCAGCUGGGAGUGCAUUUAAGUAGUUGUUUAACUGUGUACGGGGGUGGUGUGUUUUAUUUUGUUUUCGUUGGGGGGCCUGCUGGAACCUGUCGAACGCCAUCGACGGGGGUUGUUUUUCGAGCUUCACGCUGGGCCCGUUUAACCAGACGCACCACAGAGAUGCUGGGCAUCAGGGCUGGGCUCUUUCUGCCGGAGUGGGAGGGAGGAUGAGCAGUAGUAUAGGCCCUGUAGUAUUAAGAGAGGGUGAGAAGAAUUUUCUCCAGUGGAUUUCCCAUUCUGUUUUUCCAAAUACUUUCCGUUUCGUGUUGACGAAUCGGCCCCCUAAAGUCACUGACAGCUGGGAAACAUCGACAGGAAAGAGGAGGACACACCCUUUUGAUUUUUUGGGGGAUUUUUCCCCUUUUCUCCGUUAUUGUUGUUUUGUUUACUUUGUGGAAGUUUCUGUUUGACUUUUUUGUUUUUACUCGACUGAAUCGUAAUGCCAUCAUCAUUAUUAUUCUCUCUCUCCCUCCGGUUCUUUUUAUUUUUCUGGAAGAAAAUGGAGAUUUGAAAUCCAGAAAAAAGUACGACAGCACGCGCGCUGGUGGCUUAAGACGGAAGGAGAUAUUUCAACAGUUAAUGAUGAGCAUUUUGUAGGGAUGGUCAAGUUGACUGUGUACACAGUCGGGGGGUAGGAGAAUGGAGAAAAAACAUAGGGACAGACAGACAGACAGCCAAAACAGAGUCUUAAGAUAUGAAUGAGUUGGUAUUAUUCCAUCUAGGAAAUUCUAUAGCGCAAGCUGGAGCUGCUGCGGGCCGGAACUCAUCCCAGAUGAGCAGGUCUGAUAAUAAUAACACUCUCUGCUGAGACUCUCUUUUUCCUUUGAGAUUCCCCCUUAUAGCUGGGCGCUGGGCACUCUCGUCCCCUGCUGAUCGGACUUGUUAAACUCCCGCCGACAUGUCUUAAUGGUCUUUGUUGAAAACGCUUCGCCUUCGCACGUAUAUUUAUAAACAUAUAUAUAUACGUGUGUGCAUUAUAAUAGUGGUCGUGGUGGUUGGUGGUGUGGUACAGUAUAAUAGUCUGAUGUUGCGUCAGUCUCGGCAGUUAUAUACCCAUCUCUCUCUGUGUUUGGCGCGGACGAGAGUGUACCGUUCGGUACGGUAUCGUUUUCAUCAGGUGGGCCGUGGGCGCUUGGCCAGCGCAGCGCCAGCCCGCACACUGGUCAAUUGGAUAUUAUACGAGCGGAUGGUUCUCUCUCUCUCUCUCCUCUUCACCUUGAAUGAUUUGAUUUAUUUAUUUUUUCUUUCUUUUAUUUUCUCAUUUUUUUUUUUUUAAUAAUAACUUUUUUCUCCCGAUUGGGAAAGGAAGAAAAAAAAAGUAGAAUCGUACCCAGCGAGCGCCUAUUCGGUUUUCCCACUUUUUCCCCCUGCUGAUGUCGUUCAACCGUGGGCCGCAGAGUGUGUAGAUGCUGCGGCCAUUCGGAUUUGCAUAACUCUUUGGCAGCGAAGCACUAUAAUGGUUAUGAUCGCUCAUAUCUUACGUGUUUGACAACUCGGACGUGAACGUCUUUCCCAACCAGAAAAGAAAAAAAAAAUAGAAAACAAAUCAAAUAAAAAUUUCAUUUUUUUUUUUCACACACACACACACAAACAGAUAUAUAUACAACAUGGAUGAAACACGGACAGACAGACACAUGUCCGUGGCUGCAUUGUUUCUCAUUUAAAUAGAAAUGUGAUCCUGUUAGGAGCGUAACAAAGCGCUGCGUUUAUGGUUGCGACUCUCGCUCUCUAUGGUCUUGUGGGAAAAAGAGAGAAAAAAAGCUAAAGGGUUCUUUUUGUUUUGUUUUAUUUUGUUUUAUUCAUUUGCACCGAUGGUUCAUCAUUUCAUUCCAUUAGGAAUAGGCAACAGGGCGCACGGCGGUGAAGAGUGAAAGCUCCAGAGAGUCCGAAACUGAUUUUUUUUUCUUUCUUAUUUUCUUAAAAUGUCUAUUGCCGUUCAUAAAUCCAUUUGGAAAAACAGAAACGAAAUCAUAAAAAGGCCCCAAAAACAAAAGAGAAAAGGGAGAACAAUAUUUAGUGUGUCUUUUGGGGAUUCGCCGCUUUUGAUGGACGCUGACCCGGUCCGCUCGACUUGGGCCCCCCAUGAAAAAUCAAAGAAAAAAAUAUAUAAAACCCUUGAGAUUCACCACACAACCACCGCCGCCUAUACCACAGCUCCAAUGCAUUUACCAACCUCGGCCCAGAGUCUCUCCCCCAUCGAAGAGUCCUGCGGUGCGGAGGCGGCGAAUGGGACUCUAUGCAUCCAUCCAUCCGUCCCGACCGACCCUUCUCUUUUUUCCUCACCCCGAUUUCUGUGAGUGUAUGAUGCACAUAGUAUACACACUACAUAUAUAUAUAUCUAUAUAUUAUUCUAUCUCAAGUCAAAAAGAUAAAUGAAAGAGUACAUAGCAAAACGGCGUGGGAUCCUUUCGUCCUUUUUUCCCUUUACGGUUCCUCCGGCGGGGGUUGUUUUCUACCUCAUGAUGGAUCCAACGUAUAGACAUACAUCCUACACACACACACACACACACUCCUACGUAGCAAUACUCUCUCUCUUUUACCUGCGGUUUCGUUGAUAGGCACCAAUCAUCAUCCGCUACAAGAAGAAGGUUUUUCUUCUUUUUCCUUCAUCCCUCCGGUGUAUUUUAUCCAUUUUUCUCUCCUUCGUUUUUUCUUUUUCUUUUUUUUUUCGCCAGCCCCAGCAUCAUAAGACAGGUUCUAUCUCAUGCCCAGUGACGGCCAAACAGCUCCCCUGGUGAUCGCAAAACUCGCACCCUGCAACGCGCGCUCGCGCUCGCUCUGGGUGGAUUCUCGCCCGCCCGGACCCCGGGCACGCGGUUCUUAUUCUUCCACGCUCCAUCAUCAAAGUGGAGCUUCUUUUUCAUUUGUGAUGAUGUUAACGUUUUUAUUUUAUUUAUCUUCUAUUUUCUUUUUUUUUUCUUUCUUUUUCUUUUGGGUGGUGAGUCGUUUGCUCUCCUCCCACCUUCCCCCUCAUGUCCCCCCGCAGCCACGAAAAUCAUCACAAGUGAAAUUCCUCCGGAUUGCGGUUGGAAUGUGUAACAGAGAAACACAACCUGUCUUUCUACCAGCGCAUUUUUAUUUAUUUUUUCUUUUUCUUCUUCUUCUUCUUCUUGCAUUUCAUUUUUAUCGGCGUGGAAUGUUUUUUCGUAUCGCUGGGCCGCGUGUCUCUUCGUAUUUUUCCGUUUUCCAUUCCGAUCUCUGAGACUGUGUGACCCUGUCAGAAUUUCUUUGGGUUGCUUUCUCGUUAUCCGCGGAUUCCUAGAUUGAAGCGCGCGCGCUUCUCUCUUUUUGUUGUUUUGUUUGUUUUUUUCACGCAAAGCAUUCUUCCAUCACGCCGACCGGAUAGUAAAAUAUUUCAUUUCCCUUUUUAGGGUUCCAUCAUCACUUUGGGAAAGUAGAACCUAUCCCGAUAGCCCAAAAAACACGUUGAUAGAACCCAAGUAGUUGAUUAAAUGUCCUCCGACUAAACCCAAGGAAUUUUCCGAAUAAUUCCGUUUUUCUUUCACGUCGUUGACCAACACAGGAGACUGAUGCAAAUAUGAAAUGUGUUGCCUUUUGAAGUAGUGCCUCAUAUGUCCAGUCCUCUUCACCGACCUCUGAAGAGCGAACAACACAGGUAGUGAAAAAAAGGGCCAAAGAAUAGUUUCCUUUUUUCAGAGGAAGUUGAUGAAAAGGGUUUUUUUUAUUUUUCCAUUCUCAUACGUACUCCUACUCCCCAACUGAGGAUGCAUUCUUUCAAUUCUUUGACGUCAAACGUCAAGGUCCAGUGAGACGAGAGCGCAUCCCUUUCAGAAUCUAGGCAGGUGGAAUCGCGCCGAGAGAGCAACAGAAUUUCACCCUCUUCUUCUUCUUCUUUUUUCCAGGAGCCCUAAUACAGGAGGCUUUAUGUACUGACUUGCAUUGGAUAAAAGAGUUGGUCACAGGUGUGGUCACGCCGUAUAUAUACAAUUUGAUAUUCUCCUGUCCCUCCCUCCCUCCCCGCUUCUUCUGUUGUAGCUACAUACAUGUUUCGGUGUUGAGAAGGAGAGUGGAUGAAUCUUGACGUGUUGUUGACAUGUUCAAGUGGAUGCGUCUCUUUUGAGGACCAACUCGGCCCCCCUCCUCUAUACACAUUUCGGUCGUUCCGUUUUCUCGUUGAUGGACAAUAGAUACAACAAAUCGUCGAGUGGUUGUUGCUUCAUGUUUUCACCAGCGCUCGGUAGCUCGGAAAAGCUUUUUUUUUGUUUCCAUUUGCCCGUCUCGCUAGUUCCUCUGUCCCGACUGCGCUACCGGUGACGUUGCGGCUUUUGCUUUUCCUGCUUUCCAUUAGAUUUCCCUUUUUUUCUUUUUCCUUUUUUUUUUUAAAUUUCCUUUUUCUUCAUUCGAGCGCACCUGUCGGACGUUUGAAUAGAUACGCGACAACAAUGUCGUUCAACAACUUUGGCGAUCUUGUUCAAUCACUCUCGCCCUCUUUUUCAUAUUCCCGUUGUCUUUUACUUUUUUGUUUGUUUAUGAUGAUUGUCGGUCGCGAUUAAAUUAUCCCGCUCAUAAAUAUGUAAAGACAUUGGUGGCCAUUAUGAACGUCUAGUUAAAGAUCUGUCAACUUCGAUGAGCGAGAACGUUGUGUUGUCCAAGUCGUUAGAGGCAAAUAAAUGUGGUAUGUACAAAUCAGUUAUGGGAAACUUUCAAAAGUUAUUACUGCACUGUACAUUAUCCUUGGUGUGGUGGUCCCCCCGUUGAUUUUCGGUCCUCUUUUCUUUAUUUCUUUUCCGUUAUUUUUUCUUUCCUUCGAAUUCUUCAUUUCUAAAUAUACCACACGGUACACACACCAGCGGGAUUCCACACUUUUCUCCAGCCUCCUCUUCUUUGACGCUCGUGAAUAAGCCAAAGGCUACUUUUAUUGUCGGCUAUUGUCAUGUAAAAAUCGAAGCGUCAGACCCCCACGAUCAAACGAGAGAAGGGUCAAAAAGAAAAAGAAAAAAAGACAACAAAGUAUCGACCGAUAACUUGAAAAAAGAGUUGGGAAUUUUUCACCUUGUUUCUUUAUUCGUUUCUUUUUGUGUGUGACAAGUCGAGCCUAUUCCCCCCGUCGCGGUAUUUUGAUUCAUUCUUUUUUUGGAAGAGAAAUUUCUAACGUUCAUUUCCCACAACAUUUCACCUAACCUGCCUGAUGGCUGUACACUUAAACAAACACUUAACGAGCGUGUCGGACACGAUCAAAACGCUUGACUCUCGCUAACCAUCCGUCGCAGCCCAGAAGCGGCGGAUAUCAUCCAUUUGUGUGUGUGAUAAGUGGGAAAUGACGACAAGGAAAAAAAAGGAAAAAGAAAACUGAACCCGAAAAAAGACACACACUCUUUUAGCUGAGCUUUCCCCAUUAACGCCAGAGAAGGAACACAAUCGAGAACAGUUGGUCACCGUCACUUAAUUUUUUUGUGUCAUCGUCUCUCUUUUUUUUUAAACAGCUGACAAGAAGUAGUUCUCGUCGCACUUAUCACAUGUGUGAACACUCGUCCUUUUCGUAUCCGUUUACUUUUCAUAUCUUUUUUUGUUAAAUUCAAUUAAGUAUUUUUUUUUUAUUUUGGUAUUUUUUUUUCAAAAAUAAAAUUUGGAAAACAACCAAGAAAACAAUAAUUUCCUUUUUUUCUUGUUGAUGGUUCGGCUUGUCGACGUCUACCGUUAGUGGGUAGUACCACCACUCUUUUAAUCUCUGACUCGGCAACAUCUCUCUUUUCCCUCAAUGUUGUCUGUGUGUUUCCCUACUUCUUCAUCUUCGUUUUUGAAUUCUUAUUAUUUUUUUUCUUUUCCCAUCCAUUCUUUCUAUUCAUCGUUUUUUUUCCUCUCUCCUCCUCAGUUCCAUAGUGUCUAACAUAUAAACGUGGAUUUUCUUAUGUGACGAGUGGGAGGAGUUGCACCUAUCAAUAGAGAAAUGAAAAGAGACUUGCCCUUUUUCCAUCGGAUCCCGUACAGCUCUUUAUGUUAUAUUCAUGUAAACCUUUCUAUCGUUUUUGAUGUUGUGUAGUAACGAGUUGGGCAUGUCCGUUCUCUCUCUCUCUCUCUCUCUAUCGGUAUUCUUCGGAAGGCAUCGAUACUUUGAGAGAGAAGAUGCCAGACGAUUACGUCUUACUUUUCAUUCCCAUUCUUCUUUUCUUAUAGAGCCUUUUAUUCUCUUUGCAUGCGCCCGUCAUCUUUGAGAGACUAUUGCCUUUUUUUUCUCUCUCCUUUAACAUCUCUCUCUCUAGCUCUUCCCCCCACGAUCGGAGAGAACUGAAAAGCUGAUUUAAUUCCUCCUUCUUUCCUUAACUUUCAUCUGAUUGGGAACGCUAAACUUGACGGCGCGACAGACAAGAGAUUGAAAAAUCUCAUUUGAGAUUCCCGUGUGCGGACGCGGGCGGGCUCGUGCGAACGCAAAAGAGAAACGACAGAGCGGCGCAGGCGCGCGGUGACUUUGCUCGAAAGGAAAAAUUAAAACCAGUCGACCAGCAGAGCGAGUGGGCAGCAGCAGCCCAGCCAAGCUGCCGAUCGAGUCGGCGAGGUUUUGCCGCGAAAUGAGCUAAGAAACCGGUCUUCCCCUUUCGUCCGGGAGAGAAAGAAAAAGGUGAAAAAUACAUGAAUUCCGUCACGUCAGGAAUGAUUAUUGGAAGGGAGAUGUUUUAUCAGAAUAGAAAAGGGGGAGAAAAUAAAAAUGUCUCGAGGCUUCUUAUUUUUUUGCUGAUGAACCUCCGACCGACCGAGAGCCGAUCGAAUAAGAAAAAGGCGUAUAUUUACAGCAACGAUUCCGACGAUGACGGAAUAUGAACAGACGCAUUUUUUUUUUUUUUUUUAGAUUUGAAAAUAAAUAAAAAGCCGCGCGGCCUUCCCACCCCUUACUCUUGUGGGGUUUUUUUUUCUUCUUCUUUUUCGGUGUGCGGGAUCCGUUUUUUCCCGCGCGGUCCGAUCGUUUGGCCUGACGGUACGGCAACAAGGCGGAAGAUAAAUGGUCGCACAGGGUGAUGGGUCAAACUGGCCCUCUAUCUCCCGCAACACAAACACAAUUCUUACGAAAGGAAUAUAUCUAACCGCGAGGCAGGCACACAAUCAUCAUCAUCAUCAUUGGAAGAUGCAAAGAAAAGGCAAAGAAUUGAUGACUUUUUAUAUCCAUUCCAAGUCCCGUCUGACUUUCUCUUUCCGAUUUUUUUCUUUUCUUUUCUUUCGUAAAAUUUCCCCUCUGGUUUGCAUAAUCCCCCGUUCAGAAGAAAAAAAAGUCGCCUUCACGCCGUGUUUGAUAUCCCGCUGACCCGGGCAUCCCGAGGACUCUCUCAGGAGAAAAAAAAAAGGAAAAACAACCAAAUCUGCGCCGAAUGUCAAGUGGGGGAGGAACAAGAAGAAGAAAAAGGAAU